UAUCGAAAUUACUUGAAGGAAGAGGGCGAGACUUGAUAAAUAGGGCACUGGACUGUCGCUGGCUUUCUUUUGCAUCGCAUGUGCACGUCCUUUAUCCUUGGAGUCCACCCUUUUCUCUCAUUUAAAAUUCACAACAACCACACCUGUGCACCUAUUGUAGGUUCUCGAAAGAGAAAUCUAUGUUUUUUACUUCACUUUUAAUGCUGCAUGUUCAUAGAAUGUUAUCAAAUUGGCUUUCGUCAAUCAAUCCUGGACUCUUCAUUGGAGUCUUAGGUUUUUUUUGGCCGGUCAAUAUAAAAUCAUAAUACAACUUUCAGCAACGGAUCUCUUGGCUCUCGCAUCGAUGAAGAACGCAGCGAAUUGCGAUAAGUAAUGUGAAUUGCAGAUUUCCAGUGAAUCAUCGAAUCUUUGAACGCACCUUGCGCUCCUUGGUAUUCCGAGGAGCAUGCCUGUUUGAGUGUCAUUUUGAAUUCUCAACCAUCUCUUGAUUCAUUUCAAGAUCGUUGGCUUGGAAAUGGGGGCUGCUGGUCAUGGUCUUUGACUUGGAUCAGCUCUCCUAAAAUGAAUUAGCGAUUGGGUAGCCAAGUCUUUCGACGUGCACGGCCUUUCGACGUGAUAAUGAUCGUCGUGGCUGGAGCGUCUUUGAGUUGAAUUCAAUGCCUAUUGCUUAUAACAAUAAUAUAUAUAAUGAGAAUGUAAUGAGGGAAAGGAAUAUGUCCCCCGAGCUUUCAAGCCUUUUCUAGUUACUAGUUGGUCAACGGACCGGCGAACACAGAAAAGUACAAGGCCUGGCCACGUAUCUUCCUUCCUCUUCAUUAUUCAAGACUAGUGUCUCUGACCGUCUUAUUCUCAUAUAUUUAUAUUUUCGAAACUUG
rnacentral:misc_RNA from 1 species